rnacentral:tRNA from 1 species
GCCCAGGUGGCGAAAUUGGUAGACGUGCACGCUUGAGGGGCGUGUGAACUAAGUUCAUGCGGGUUCGAGUCCCGCCUUGGGCA